rnacentral:rRNA from 1 species
UACAGAGGUGGCAAGCGUUGUUCGGAAUUACUGGGCGUAAAGGGCGCGUAGGCGGCCUUCUAAGUCAGACGUGAAAUCCCCCGGCUUAACCUGGGAACUGCGUCUGAUACUGGGAGGCUUGAGUAUGGGAGAGGGAUGUAGAAUUCCAGGUGUAGCGGUGAAAUGCGUAGAUAUCUGGAGGAACACCGGUGGCGAAGGCGGCAUCCUGGACCAAUUCUGACGCUGAGGAGCGAAAGCGUGGGGAGCGAACAGG